rnacentral:rRNA from 1 species
AUGCGGUGUGUGACGACGGCAAGUUUCUCGGUAAAGCUCAACGGUGCAUGUUCUAGGUGUUUUUUACCCUCCCGAGGACUCAGACAGGGAGAUCCUUUGUCGUCUUAUUUGUUCUUAUUUUGUGUUGAGGAUUUCUCGGCUCUGUUGAGGAAAGCGCAAGCAGAAAAUAGACUGGAAGGAGUGACGUUUGGGAGCACUGGCCCCCAUGUAACGCAUCUCCUUUUUGCAGAUGAGAGUAUUGUGUUCUUGGAGGGAUCCACUGAGUACCUAGAGACUCUAAGGGAGAUCUUAGUGAGUUACGAGCAAGCCUUGGGACAGAAGGUGAAUUUGCAGAAAUCCUCGAUCUUCUUUGGCAAGGGCUGUCAGGACAACACUAAGGAAGAGCUCAAGGCGGUGUUGAGGGUGACCUCGGAAGCACUAAGUGAACGGUACCUUGGUCUCCCAACACUGGUUGGACGAUCAAAGGAGGGCACCUUUCCUUAUGUAAUGGAGAGUUCAAAAGGUAAAUGUAGUGGAUGGAAGGGUUUGGGCCUUUCAAAGAAGGCAAGGGAGGUUCUUAUCAAGUCUGGUCUCCAAGCAGUACCAACAUUCACCAUGAGCUGUUUCCACCUCACAAAGAAAACGUGCCGGAAUCUGAAUUCUAUCUCGUCAAAAUUCUGGUGGGGGGCAAAGGUGUUGGGGAACGUAGCAAAAAUUCAAAAUUUUCCUACGCGUAUCACCAAGAUCUAUCUAUGA